UACGUAGGGUGCGAGCGUUGUCCGGAAUUACUGGGCGUAAAGAGCUCGUAGGUGGUUUGUCGCGUUGUCCGUGAAAACUCACAACUCAAUUGUGGGCGUGCGGGCGAUACGGGCAGACUGGAGUACUGCAGGGGAGACUGGAAUUCCUGGUGUAGCGGUGAAAUGCGCAGAUAUCAGGAGGAACACCGAUGGCGAAGGCAGGUCUCUGGGCCACUACUGACGCUGAGGCGCGAAAGCGUGGGGAGCGAACAGG
rnacentral:rRNA from 1 species